UUCUAUGGCCAUGCCACCCUAAACAUGCCCAGUCUCAUCUGAUCUUAGAAGCUAAGCAGGGGUGGGCCUGGUUAGUACUUGGAUGGGAGACCACCUAGGAAGACCGGGUGCUGUAGGCG
rnacentral:rRNA from 1 species